ensembl:lncRNA
CCUUACGUCACUGCUUUGCGUCCACCUGUGCUUCCGUAGGCGCCCUGCAGAGUCCCUGAUGGGGGUGGGCCGGCCGCCGCGUGGUGGUGUGGUCCUUGUCGCGCUUCUGCCUCCCUUGAGAUGCAGACGUCCGGUCCUGAGGGACCUCCGCGCUCGGUCUCGGAGAGCUAGGCCCCGCGUCCACCUACCGCGCCUGGAGGGGAAACGCAGAACUGGCGACCGAGGGAAGGGGCGGCCCUGCUGAGGCUGAGGCCUGGCCUGGCUCCGCGUCCUGAGGCGGCGGCCUUUUCUUUCUCGUCGCUGCGGUCUGGGAGCUACCUUUUCUCCGAUCAUUCCACUCCGAGCCCCCACGGACUUGGAGAACUGUGUACAACGACUGCGCUUUGCCGGGCGCGUGGUUCCCUCGAGGAAAACACCCAAAACGGCAAAACUGCCCACUGUCCGGGAGCCGAAACUACUGCCUCCCAACAGCUUAGCUGUGACAUCUCUGGCCAGAGGACAAUGAGAAUCUUCUUCAGUUGGAGCUUGCUGUUUCUGCUAGACCAGUUGAUUCCUGGUUGGAAAGAAUAGCUUCCUGAUCUCUGAAUAUUCAGCAGUAAGCUCUACGGUGCCUGUAGAAGCAGUGUCCAGCCCCCCUAGGGGCAUGGGGUGGACUGGAGGCUCCUGCCCAG